rnacentral:rRNA from 1 species
UACGAAGGGGGCUAGCGUUGCUCGGAAUCACUGGGCGUAAAGCGCACGUAGGCGGCUUUCUAAGUCAGGGGUGAAAUCCUGGAGCUCAACUCCAGAACUGCCUUUGAUACUGGAAAGCUUGAGUUCGGGAGAGGUGAGUGGAACUGCGAGUGUAGAGGUGAAAUUCGUAGAUAUUCGCAAGAACACCAGUGGCGAAGGCGGCUCACUGGCCCGAUACUGACGCUGAGGCACGAAAGCGUGGGGAGCGAACAGG